GAUGAACGCUGGCGGCGUGCCUAAUACAUGCAAGUCGAGCGAACAGACGAGGAGCUUGCUCCUCUGACGUUAGCCGCGCACGGGUGAGUAACACGUGUAUAACCCACCUAUAAGACUGGUAUAACCUCGGGACACCGGCUCUAAUACCGUAUAAUAUACUGAACCGCAUGGUUCAAUAGUGAAAGUCGGUUUUUCUGUCUCUUAUAGAUGGAUCUGCGCGGCAUUGGCUAGUUGUUGAGGUAACGGCUUACGAAGGGAAGGAUGCGUAGCCGAAGUGAGAGGGUGAUCGGCCACAUGGGAACGGAGACACGGUCCAGGGGACUGAGGGAGGCAGCAGUAGGGAAUGGUCCGCAAAGGGCGAAAGCCUGACGGAGCAAGGCCGCGUGAGUGAUGAAGGUGUUGGGAGCGUAAAACUGUGCUAUGAGGGAAGAACCGAUGUGUAAGUAGCUAUGCACGUCUUGACGGUAACUAGUCAGGAAGCAACGGCUAACUACGUG
rnacentral:rRNA from 1 species